CAAAGAUGGCCAAAUGAGCGGGGCAGCAAUUUCGAUAAGUAACUUUGAGGCUGAUUUUAGCAAGAACGUCAGUGCAAUAACCGUUGGAUGGGCGGUAAGUUGCCUUCUUCUGCUCUGUAGAUUUGCCUCGUUAUUGCGAUGGUUUUUUCUGCACUUAACCUUUCUCACUUAUCCAUCGAAAAAUAUGUAGGUGUGGCCGUCUUACUUUAAUGACUCGCAAACUUACCUUUAUACGGCAUGGACGAAAGACAGCCGGCAGAGCACAGGGUGUGUCAACUAUGAUUGUCCUGGUAUCCAGCUUGUGAGCGGGUCUCCAAUAUUCCCCGGAGAUGUCAUAGCCCCAGUAGCCCAGGUUAACAGGACACAACAAACUAUCACCAUUAAGCUGUUCAGGACCAAGUUGAACGGGAACUGGUGGUUGCAUGCUGGUGUAAACGACGAGGACCCGAUCCCGGUCGCCUACUUCCCGGCGUCACUAUUUGACGACUUCUUCUACAAAGCAACUCAAGUCGUGUUGGGUGGCCAUACUCUCAAGUCUAAGACUACCACACCUCCUCCAAUGGGCAGUGGAGCCUUCGGCGCUGAGUGGGACAAUGCGGCGCUGAUCCGAGACAUUCAUGUCAUCAUGGAGAAUGGGAGGAGCAACUUUAUCGACGAUGAUCUGUCCACCGAUGUCACUGAUGUCAAGCUUUACUCCCUCUCGCCAAUUUCAGCAGGCAAAUUCACUUACGGAGGACCAGGAAGGAAGAACUAGUGCUAAUAUUAACUCGUCUUUGUGCUA